GACGAACGCUGGCGGCGUGCUUAACACAUGCAAGUCGAACGGAAAGGCCCUGCUUUUGUGGGGUGCUCGAGUGGCGAACGGGUGAGUAACACGUGAGUAACCUGCCCUUGACUUUGGGAUAACUUCAGGAAACUGGGGCUAAUACCGGAUAGGAGCUCCUGCUGCAUGGUGGGGGUUGGAAAGUUUCGGCGGUUGGGGAUGGACUCGCGGCUUAUCAGCUUGUUGGUGGGGUAGUGGCUUACCAAGGCUUUGACGGGUAGCCGGCCUGAGAGGGUGACCGGCCACAAUGGGACUGAGAGACGGCCCAGACUCCUACGGGAGGCAGCAGUGGGGAAUAUUGCACAGUGGGCGGAAGCCUGAUGCAGCAACGCCGCGGUCGGGAUGACGGCCUGCGGGUUGUAAACCGCUUUCGCCUGUGACGAAGCGUGAGUGACGGUAAUGGGUAAAGAAGCACCGGCUAACUACGUG
rnacentral:rRNA from 1 species